rnacentral:rRNA from 1 species
CUAUAGCGUAUAUUAAAGUUGUUGCGGUAAAAAAGCUCGUAGUUGGAUUUCUGUUGCGGCGGGCCGGUUCCGACCAUGUCGGUAAUCUGGUUCCUCCGCGGCAUCCUCUCGAAAAACGUUUGUGCGCUUGAUUGCGUGCGGCGGAUCUCGGGACUUUUACUUUGAGGAAAUUAGAGUGUUCACGGCAGGCUAUCGCCAGAAUACAUUAGCAUGGAAUAAUAAGAUAGGACCUCGGUUCUAUUUUGUUGGUUUCUAGGACCGAAGUAAUGAUUAAUAGGGACAGUUGGGGGCAUUCAUAUUCCAUUGUCAGAGGUGAAAUUCUUGGAUUAACGGAAGAUGAACUUCUGCGAAAGCAUCUGCCAAGGAUGUUUUCAUUGAUCAAGAACGAAAGUUAGGGGAUCGAAGACGAUCAGAUACCAU